GGGGCCGACCUGGUUUCGACGUGGGUUGCGAAGCAGUGGAGGGCAUACCGAGGACCCGUCACCUCGUUAAUCAAUGGGAAUGUAAUAACUGCUAACGACGAACGUUACGCACUGGCUGCCUAAGGGCUAGCCGUCCUCGCACUGGCUCGCUGACGGGCUAGGGUUCGCAAGAACUGGCGAGGUCAUUUACGUCAGAUAAGCUUCGGGAGUGUCACGGGCCCGAGGACGAAAACCUAGUGACUCGCCGUCGUAGAGCGUGUUCGUCCGCGAUGCGGCGGUUAAAACAAAUGACAGAACUAAGUAUGUAGAACUCUCUGUGGAGGGCUUGCGGACGCGGGUUCGAUUCCCGCCGGCUCCACCA
rnacentral:tmRNA from 2 species